GGGGAUGUGGCUAAGUGGUAGAGUUCCUGCCUGCCUGCACAAGACCCUGGGUUGAAACCCCAGCACCACUA
rnacentral:tRNA from 1 species